rnacentral:lncRNA from 1 species
UGGCUUUCAACAAAAAUGAUCAAUUUGCACAUUCGUCAUCCUCAAACACAUAUGGGUUUCAACACAUUUUUGUAUCAUCCAAGAAAACAACCAAACAAUCCAUAUCAAUAUGCUUAUCCUAACAAAUCAAAAUGCCCGCAUGAAAAGUUUCCAUAGACAAACUAAAAAGAAAAACUAAAGAAAACGAGCACACAGACUCAAGACAAAAGACACAAAAACUCCCCCACACUUAGACAACACAAUGUCCUCAUUGUGUGGGGAAAAACUAACGAUAAAAACACAAAACAAAUAAAGCAUAAAAGAAAAGAAAAUAAAAUAAAAUAAAAACGAAAGAAACUAACAGAACUUCCCUGAAACUGGAUCAAUCAUCAGGUGGUUUCAAUUUUCGCUUUGGCAGUUUCACAAUUGAAGGCACAAUC